GUCCCUUUGAGAAACUGAUUCGAAGUGUAAAGCUGAAAACACUAUCAGGUCCAAAAUAUGUGAGUAAAGUCUCAGAAAACUGCAUAGCCCAUAUAAAAUCUGAUGGAUUAUAUGGUGAAGAAGAAGAAAAAGCCAUUCAAGAAUUAAAACAAGCUUUCAAGGAUCAAAAUUUUCCACCAAGGACUGCUGCUUUUUACAGACAAACACCAAAUGGAACAUUAGCUCUUAGUUUCUCCAAAGAUGAGACAAUACCUGAACAUGAGCAUACAAUUAUUCACAAUAAGCCGGUUUCGGAGGCGGUGUUGGAGACUAUGAUCGGCGAAAUUCCGAAUGACAACUUCAAAAUUGAACACUGA